rnacentral:rRNA from 1 species
AAAUUGAAGAGUUUGAUCAUGGCUCAGAUUGAACGCUGGCGGCAGGCCUAACACAUGCAAGUCGAACGGUAACAGGAAGCAGCUUGCUGCUUUGCUGACGAGUGGCGGACGGGUGAGUAAUGUCUGGGAAACUGCCUGAUGGAGGGGGAUAACUACUGGAAACGGUGGCUAAUACCGCAUAACGUCGCAAGACCAAAGAGGGGGACCUUCGGGCCUCUUGCCAUCAGAUGUGCCCAGAUGGGAUUAGCUUGUUGGUGAGGUAACGGCUCACCAAAGCGACGAUCCCUAGCUGGUCUGAGAGGAUGACCAGCCACACUGGAACUGA